rnacentral:lncRNA from 1 species
AAACAUAUGGCACUCAGCUUCACUCAGAAGGGCAAGCAGGCUUGGUGCGACUCGAGGAAUUGGUGCUCAAUUCCCCAAAAAGGGCACCCAGGCGCGAGCCAGAAGCUUUUUGCGCUAAGGGCCUCAGAAAAGGGCAGUCAGGCAUGAGACAGUGAGUUCUGGCGCUGAGGGCCCCUGAAAAGGGCACUCAGGCGUCCUACGAUCCUCUUUUCUG